AUGGACUGGGAGACACUGGGAUGGACUGGGAGAGGACCAGAGCCCAAUCGGGAGACACUGGGAGGCACUGGGAGAGACUGGGAGGAGGCGCCAGCGGCUGCUGGCUCCCCAGGUGUGCCCAGGUGUAUUUCAGGUAUGCCCAGCUGUGCCCAGGUGUGCUGUACCUGUCCCCAGGUGUGCCCAGGUGUGUCUCAGGUGUGCCCAGGUGUAUCUCAGGUGUGCCCAGGUGUGCCCAGGUGCGCCCAGGUGCCUCACCUCGUCCUUGAGCUGCGCCAGGAACAGCGGCAGCAGGUGCUCCACCGUGUUGUCCUUGCCCAGGAUCGGGGACAGCCCCAUGAUCACCGAGGCCAGCGCCGACUUCACGUGCUGGUUGGCGUCCGACACCAGCUCCUGCGCAGGUAACGCAGGUGAGCCAGGUGAGAGCCAGGUGAGAGCCAGGUGAGAGCCAGGUGAGAGCCAGGUGAGAGCCAGGUGAGCUCACCGGGCCUCGGGGGGGGGAGGCUCAGGGUGGCUCUCAUGCCACAGGUGUGCCCCAGGUGCGUCCCACAACCCCUAAAUGUCCCCAGGUGUGCCCAGGUGUGCCCAGGUGUAUCCCAGGUAUCCCCAGGUGUGCCCAGGUGUGUCCCAGGUGCCCCCAGGUGUGUCCAGGUGUAUCCCAGCUACCCCCAGGUGUGUCCCAGCACACGAGUCCCCAGGUAUCCCCAGGUGUGCCUCACCACCCCAAAAUGUCCCCAGGUGUGUCCCAGGUGUGCCCAGGUGGGGGGGGGGGGGGGGGGGGGGGGGGGGGGGGGGGGGGGGGGGGGGGGGGGGGGGGGGGGGGGGGGGGGGGG
rnacentral:lncRNA from 12 species